rnacentral:rRNA from 1 species
AGUCUGGUGCCAGCAGCCGCGGUAAUUCCAGCUCCAAUAGCGUAUAUUAAAGUUGUUGCGGUUAAAAAGCUCGUAGUUGGAUCUCGGUUUCACUCAGGCGGUACACCUUGCGGUGUUCACUGUCUGGGCGGACGUUUCUGUUGGUUCGCUGUUGGUUCUCUUAAUCGAGUGCCAAUUGGUGGCCAGCACGUUUACUUUGAAAAAAUUGGAGUGCUCAAAGCAGGCGUUACAGCCUGAACAUUAGUGCAUGGAAUAAUGGAAUAGGAUCUCGAUUCUAUUUCGUUGGCUUUCGGAGUCGAGGUAAUGAUUAAUAGGGACAGACGGGGGCAUUCGUACUGCGACGUUAGAGGUGAAAUUCUUGGAUCGUCGCAAGACGAACUACUGCGAAAGCAUUUGCCAAGAAUGUUUUCAUUAAUCAAGAACGAAAGUUAGAGGUUCGAAGGCGAUCAGAUACCGCCCUAGUUCUAACCAUAAACGAUGCCAACCGGCGAUCCGUCGUCGUUAAUUGAAUGACUCGACGGGCAGCCUCCGGGAAACCAGAGUGUUUGGGUUCCGGGGGAAGUAUGGUUGCAAAGCUGAAACUUAAAGGAAUUGACGGAGGGGCACCACCAGGAGUGGAGCCUGCGGCUUAAUUUGACCCAACACGGGAAAUCUCACCAGGCCCGGACACCGGAAGGAUUGACAGAUUGAGAGCUCUUUCUUGAUUCGGUGGGUGGUGGUGCAUGGCCGUUCUUAGUUGGUGGAGCGAUUUGUCUGGUUAAUUCCGAUAACGAACGAGACUCUGGCCUACUAACUAGAAGGGUCGUUCUUUACGAGCGGCCCUCUGCUUCUUAGAGGGACGGGCGGCGUUUAGCCGCACGAGAAUGAGCAAUAACAGGUCUGUGAUGCCCUUAGAUGUUCUGGGCUGCACGCGCGCUACACUGAAGGAAUCAGCAUGUUCUCCCCUCCCUGAAAAGGGCGGGUAACCCGUUGAAACUCCUUCGUGAUGGGGAUUGGAGAUUGUAAUUAUUCUCCAUGAACGAGGAAUUCCCAGUAGGCGCGAGUCAUCAGCUUGCGUCGAUUACGUCCCUGCCCUUUGUACACACCGCCCGUCGCUACUACCGAUCGAGUGAUUUAGUGAGGACUUCGGACUGGUCUCCAAGUUGGCUUCGGUCAGCUCGGAGUUCCGGAAAGAUGCCCAAACUUGAUCACUUAGAGGAAGUAAAAGUCGUA